CCUCCCCCCCCCCCCCCCCCCCCCACCCAUCGGCGCCCCCGCAGAUCGGGACCAGGCCAGCGAGGUCUUCACCACUGAGGUUGAGGAGAAGGGAAGGAGCAGCGAGGCGGGUGCUACGAUUAGGUCGUCGACGUGGACAAGAAGCAGCGGGGACAGCGGUCCCGUCACAGUGGGGUGGACCGGCAUGGGAGAGGGACGAGGUGGGUUCUCUAUUGGUGUGGUUCUGGGGAUUGCAAGGCUUGUUCCAUCUGGUUUCAGGAGUGUGUGUUGCUCCUGUAAUUUUUCUCAGGUUGUCUCUCUUCUUCUUCUUGCUAUAUUUAGUUCAUUCUUUUGUUCGUACAACGGAUCUUGAGAUUUUCUUUUUUGUUGCUAAUCGUUUGAGCCAUGGGAGUUAGUGUACAGUUCUAUGUUUGCCUCCCAUGGUUCCUGAUUAGAGUUGGACAUGCUUGGUUGAAGUCAGAUACAUGUUUCCUGGUUGUGGAAUUAAACUUUGCUUAAUUGGAGAUACAAAUUAGCGUGCAGUCCUUCUGUGCCUUCUAAUUAGAUAGUUGGACUUCGUCAACUCCGCUGACUAUCUUGACUACAACGUACUACAACCCUGAUGCCCCCACUGGUUAUGUAGUAACAUGCUUCUAUGAGCGCUCCUUUCCAGGAUCUUGUUUACUCAAUGUUACCCGCUUUGUAUUACUCACCAAACUUGAUGGUUUGACUUCUAUAAGAUCCUUGAGGAAAAAACACAAGAUCUGUAUCCAUUCUUAUGCAUGAGAUAUUUUUUCUGAAGCAGGUUAUAUUCCCCUCUUAUAUUCUGCUCUUCCAUUGUGCCUGAUUCUAAUAUUUUUUUCUUGCAAUAUGAUAAUAUAUUUGUUUAUUUUCAUUUCUGAGGAUAAGGAAGCUCCUAUGCAUCAUAUGACUAUUUUGGCAAAGACGUAUAAAUUGGUUGACUUUGUGCGGGUUUGUGAUUUUGCUUAACAAAUAGCUUGUGUUGUACUUUUGGGUCUGCAGAGGAGCCCAAACUUGAUCUGCCCUUGCCCAAGCUUGCUGAGAAGAGUUCAUAGGGGCAGAAAAUAAAUAGGCAAGGGUAUUGGUGAAUGCAGAAUUGGUGGGAGCUAUGGUAAUGACCGCGUACAUUGCCGCGGGGAGGAACUUGUUGUCUCCCGGACACACAAAUUAUGUUGAACAAUCAAGACCUUGAAGGUUGGUUUCUACCUGAAGGUUGGUUUCAACAAGUGUUAUAAACUUGAGCUCCUUUCCUUGAGUUCAUGUGGUUUGGGUCGACUUUGUCCUUAAGAUAGACCCCAUGGUUGGAGCUCCACACGAUUGAACUGGUCCACUCUGGCAAGUGGUCUCGAUCUCUUGGAUACUUGGUACUAUGAAAACCACACACUGUAUUUUGGCCAUUUCCGUUGGCCGAGUGCUUACCUUGUACCACAAAUCAAUCGAUUCUGUAUCUGAAUUUUCCUACUCCAAUGGUAAGUCUGCACUACAAUGCGCUGUACAUCAACACUUUGUUAUUUAUCUAUCUCAGAGUAUACUUGUUGCUUCAUGUUAUACGCUUCCAUAAUUUAUUCUUAUUUUUGCUUCAGAUUUGAAUUAAAACUGAAUGUCCCCAACACCUCACUCUUUUAUUCAGGAAACUUAUUUAGAUUGGUUUACAGAAAUUCACGUAUAUAUAGGCAGCCUCACAGCUUAUGUAGGCAUGUUCUUAGUCUGAUUGUGGUCUUCAGAGGGUGUGAACGUAUGUAUAAGCAGUGUCAUUGUCAGAUAAUGCUUGCAUGGUAGACUUCCACAGGCCUGUAAAAGCUGCUGGAACAGCCCAUAUAGUUAUUAUGUUUGGAAUAUCUUUGCUUUUGUUGGUCCAUAUGGCAUACAUGCAAGGGCAGAGAUUUCGGAUGUGCUUACCUUGCCAAAAGAUCAUUGUUGGUAGGAUAGCUGUAUCAUUGCACUUGGCAUCUACCUUACUGUAUUAGGUUUCUCAAUGUUUCAUGAGGUUUUAUUUUGUGAGUUCUGGCACUCUUUGUUAUACAUGCGUGAAAACUGUUUUCAAACAUAUAUGACAUACAUUUAUUGUUACCAGUCUGCAAAAAGUUAGGAUCUCAUCAAAAGUGUUUGGCCUUCCAAACGCAAUUUACUCAACACACAAGGCAAGGACCGUUUGUGUCGAGGCGACUGUUUAGUUCUAUCCAUCUCAGUGCCAACUAAGCAAUGGACUUGCAAAGAAAUCAAUAUCCAUCUAUGUCUACCGGAAACUGGAAGAGGUUGAAGAUUGGUUGGCAAACGAAGAGGUUGAUUCUGCCUUAUCAUAUAGAUAGUUUUUCGUAGACAUGAUUCAUAGAGAUGAUUCUAUAUGAUGCAUGCGCUCUAAUUGACUACAUGUCUUAAUUACCAUCAGCUUGGUGACCAAAACAAUUUAUAUGAUGCAUUUAUGUCUAUGUAGCUUUGCUUAUCAUGAACUGAUCUCAAGCCUUUCUUUUGGCCUUUGAAACUACCUUGAAUGUAAUAUAUAAUGCCAUUUUUUAACAUCUUACCUAAA